rnacentral:tRNA from 1 species
GGCUAGCUCAAUCGGUAGAGCGUGAGACUCUUAAUCUCAAGGUUGUGGGUUCGACCCGUAAGCGCUG